GACGUAGGGCGCAAGCGUUGUCCGGAUUUAUUGGGCGUAAAGAGCUCGUAGGCGGCUUGUCGCGUCGACUGUAAAAACCCGUGGCUCAACCAUGUGGUCUGCAGUCGAUACGGGCAGGCUAGAAUUCGGUAGGGGAGACUGGAAUUCCUGGUGUAGCGGUGAAAUGCGCAGAUAUCAGGAGGAACACCGGUGGCGAAGGCGGGUCUCUGGGCCGAUAUUGAUGCUGAGGAGCGAAAGCGUGGGGAGCGAACAGG
rnacentral:rRNA from 1 species